rnacentral:rRNA from 1 species
ACACGUAGGGGGCGAGCGUUGUUCGGAAUCAUUGGGCGUAAAGGGCGCGCAGGCGGCGAGGCAAGUCCGGUGUGAAAGUGCUCGGCUCAACCGAGUGAUGCGCUGGAAACUGGAGAGCUUGAGAAGCAGAGAGGCAAACAGAAUUCCUGGUGUAGCGGUGAAAUGCGUAGAUAUCAGGAAGAAUACCAGUGGCGAAGGCGGUUUGCUGGCUGCAUACUGACGCUGAGGCACGAAAGCGUGGGGAGCAAACAGGAUUAGAUACCCUGGUAGUCCACGCCGUAAACGAUGAGUACUAGCUGUCGGGGGUUACCCCCCUCGGUGGCGCAGCUAACGCAUUAAGUACUCCGCCUGGGAAGUACGCUCGCAAGAGUGAAACUCAAAUGAAUUGGCGGGG